GCCCCCGUAGCCCAAUCGGCAGAGGCAGUCGACUUAAAAUCGAUGCAGUGUGGGUUCGAGUCCCACCGGGGGUACCA
rnacentral:tRNA from 1 species